rnacentral:rRNA from 1 species
GACGAACGCUGGCGGCGUGCUUAACACAUGCAAGUCGAGCGGUAAGGCCCUUUCGGGGGUACACGAGCGGCGAACGGGUGAGUAACACGUGGGUGACCUGCCCUCAGCUCUGGGAUAAGCCUGGGAAACUGGGUCUAAUACCGGAUAUGACUCCAUGACGCAUGUUGUGGGGUGGAAAGCCUUGUGCGGCUGAGGAUGGGCCCGCGGCCUAUCAGCUUGUUGGUGGGGNGAUGGCCUACCAAGGCGACGACGGGUAGCCGGCCUGAGAGGGCGACCGGCCACACUGGGACUGAGACACGGCCCAGACUCCUACGGGAGGCAGCAGUGGGGAAUCUUGCGCAAUGGGCGAAAGCCUGACGCAGCGACGCCGCGUGAGGGAUGACGGCCUGGUGUAA